UACGUAGGGUGCGAGCGUUACUCGGAAUUACUGGGCGUAAAGCGUGCGCAGGCGGUUUUGUAAGCCAGAUGUGAAAUCCCCGGGCUUAACCUGGGAAUGGCAUUUGGGACUGCAAGGCUUGAGUGCGGCAGAGGAGACUGGAAUUCCUGGUGUAGCAGUGAAAUGCGUAGAUAUCAGGAGGAACACCGAUGGCGAAGGCAGGUCUCUGGGCUGACACUGACGCUCAUGCACGAAAGCGUGGGGAGCAAACAGG
rnacentral:rRNA from 1 species